GAAAAUAAAAAAGAAAUAAAAAUCAUAUUAAUAUAAAUAAAAAGUAAUAAAAGAGAAGAGAAGAAAAAUAGAACGGGAGAAGAAGAAAAUAAGAAAGAAAUAUAAUGAAUUAGAAAUGUAGAGGUGAAAAUAAAAUAGGCAAGAAAUAAAUACAAAAUGAAAGAGAAUAAAUAAGAAAAAAAGGAAAAACCAUAUUAAUGGGCUAAACUUCAACAGAUCAGCCUACAAAGUUGGAGAAAUGGGCCGCACUCAACUAUAUAGGCCGCGCACAACAUCCCUUCUAAAUGGCCCAAAAGUGGUAAAUAAGCCAAUUCAUACCUCCAGCGUUGCUCAAGCGAUAUUUAUCCAUCACAUAUACCACAUAUAGCCUCC
rnacentral:lncRNA from 1 species